CUACGGGGUGCAGCAGUGGGGAAUAUUGCACAAUGGGCGCAAGCCUGAUGCAGCCAUGCCGCGUGUAUGAAGAAGGCCUUCGGGUUGUAAAGUACUUUCAGCGGGGAGGAAGGGAGUAAAGUUAAUACCUUUGCUCAUUGACGUUACCCGCAGAAGAAGCACCGGCUAACUCCGUGCCAGCAGCCGCGGUAACUACGGAGGGUGCAAGCGUUAAUCGGAAUUACUGGGCGUAAAGCGCACGCAGGCGGUUUGUUAAGUCAGAUGUGAAAUCCCCGGGCUCAACCUGGGAACUGCAUCUGAUACUGGCAAGCUUGAGUCUCGUAGAGGGGGGUAGAAUUCCAGGUGUAGCGGUGAAAUGCGUAGAGAUCUGGAGGAAUACCGGUGGCGAAGGCGGCCCCCUGGACGAAGACUGACGCUCAGGUACGAAAGCGUGGGGAGCAAACAGGAUUAGAUACCCGUGUAGUC
rnacentral:rRNA from 1 species